AGAGUUUGAUCAUGGCUCAGAAUGAACGUUGGCGGCGUGGAUUAGGCAUGCAAGUCGUACGAGAAUCGUAGCAAUACGAGGAAAGUGGCGAAAGGGAGAGGAUUACGUGGGAAUCUACCCUCAGACCUGGGAUAGCGGCGGGAAACUGCCGGUAAUACCAGAUAAUGUCUUUGGACCAAAGGUGUGAUUCCGUCUGGGGAUGAGCCCACGUCCUAUUAGCUUGUUGGUGGGGUAAUGGCCUACCAAGGCAAUGAUGGGUAGCGGGUGUGAGAGCACGACCCGCCUCACUGGGACUGAGAUACUGCCCAGACACCUACGGGUGGCUGCAGUCGAGAAUCUUCGGCAAUGGGCGAAAGCCUGACCGAGCGACGCCGCGUGCGGGAUUGAAGGCCUUCGGGUUGUAAACCGCUGUCGUAGGGGAGCAAGAGAAGAGGGUUCUCCCUCUAAUUUGAGCGAUCCUAGGAGGAAGGACGGGCUAAGUCGUGCCAGCAGCCGCGGUAAGACGAACCGUCCGAACGUUAUUCGGUAUCACUGGGCUUAAAGAGUUCGUAGGCGGCUCCGUAGGUGAGGUGUGAAAUCCCUCGGCUCAACCGAGGAAUUGCGCUUCAAACCGUGGAGCUAGAGGAAGAUAGGGGUGAGCGGAACAGAUGGUGGAGCGGUGAAAUGCGUUGAUAUCAUCUGGAACACCGGUGGCGAAAGCGGCUCGCUGGAUCUUUUCUGACGCUGAGGAACGAAAGCUAGGGGAGCGAACGGGAUUAGAUACCCCGGUAGUCCUAGCCGUAAACGAUGAGCACUAGUCUGUGGGGACCCUCACAUCCUCUCGGACGUAGCGAAAGUGUUAAGUGCUCC
rnacentral:rRNA from 1 species